UACUCUCCCACAAAGAGCCACCCCUCACCUCUCUCUCUCACUAUCUCCCCUCUCACUAUCCUCUCUCUAGUUCCCCCGCCGCCUCCUCCUCCUCACGUCGGCCACCAUGGGCGAGUCAAACUCGCCGCCCUCGUCACCACUACCGUCCUUCGUUCUUCACAGGCCGGUUAACCGUCAAACCGCCGCCUUCUCCGCCUUCGCUCACCAGCCAUCGGAGAAAGAGCCCAGCGAACAACCAUCGCCGGAGGACGUUGGAAAACAGCCACCACUCCCAACGGCAGCCCACCGGCGCCUCCCGUCUCUCUCUCUACCGUUCGACAGCCAUGCAGCCGGCGGAACCCCGCCGCCUUGAACCAGCCACCGGCGCCGCUGCUGCCAUCAUCCCCUCCACUUCUCCACCGCCAUGCAACCACCAAUAACCACAAGAAAGCAACCAUCCGCCGCCCCGUUCCCCUCAGUCAGCCACUAGCAGUCGCCGUCCUCCCCUCCAUCUCCACGCCCAGAUCUGGUAACCCCUUCGUCGAAAAUCGAUGGGUGUUAGGACUCAUCCCGGGUUUCUUUUCUUGAUUAAUUUCUUGCCUAAAACUAAAAUUUGUGAUAAAGUGUUGUGUCUGCAUGUUUACCAAUAUUUGUUAAAUAACGCAUGAUCCCACACACUUCUUUUAAAUCUUGAAGUUUGUGGAAUGUGAUGUUAAGUUUUGCUCUUGUUUCAUGUUUUGUUUUCGUAAUUUGACAUAUGUAAAAGCCUUAGGAUUCUUGUCUGUGACCCUAAAUUGUGACUUGAGUAUCGAUUUUGUGACUCAUAGACUGAUUUUGUGGUUCGUAAUUUGUUAUGAUUUUUGUACUGCUGUAGUGUUUAGAUUUAGAUUAAUUUGAAUUUCUAAUUUUCAUGGGCAAUCUGGGUGAUUUGUUUACCUUAAUCAAGUUGUACAUGAUUUUCUUUGGUUACAUUAGAUGUGAUUAUGUUCCAAAUUACGGUAAUCCAAAAUAAAAGUAUCCUGUAUUUGUAAUUGCUCUUUCACAUGUGUUAUAUAUGAUAGCAAAAGUUAAUGCAUAUUUAUAUUUUCUAUUAUUUUAAAACAUCUUUUACUUAUUUAUUUAGGGUAAAUUUAUUUCCAAUUGAUUCAGUCUCUCCGAUUAAGGAAAAUAACGCCGUUGAUUGAUUUCCUCAACUUUUGCUUUCCUUUUAUUAUGUGAUUGAAUCUUACGUAAUUUAUUUUAUCAAAGGAUCUCCUUGAUUGACCCAUCAAAAUAUUUCCUUCCCUUUUACUUUCCCGACUUCCUCAUUAUAUAAACAUCCCUUUUUAUCACUUACGGACAACUCUUCAAUUACAAUCACUCUCUAAAAUAAAAACUACUAGAUACUGUAAGACGAAGAAAAGGAUAUUCUCAAGCUAUUUGGUUUCUCUGAUUCCGACAAGGCAUUCAUCUCGCUUUACUAUUGCAAUCAUACUACUUUUCGUUCUUUAUUAUUAUUUUCGUCGUUUACUGGUAAGUUCUCAAAACGAUGUAAUUUUCAUUCUUUGUGUGUAUUGAUUGCGUCAUGUUGUGAAAGCCUUUAGAAAGCAUGUCUAUAGGAAUAUUUCGAUGUUCGUUAUUAUAUGAGCUGUUUGCUUGCCAUUACAGUUUGUCUCACAGGUUUAAAUAAAUAAUUACGGGGUUUCCGAAGAGUCGCCGGGGUGUUUACAUUAUAUUGUAGUAGUUCUAUUUAAUUUUAUUUUCUUAUUAUUUGGUUUGUAAUAUUAUUGUAUAAACAUUACUGUUAUUGUAAUAAUAAUUUUGGGGACUGCUGGGGGGGGCUACGUACUCUGUGAAUAGUAUAGGUAGGCACAACUUAGGAUUUUCUGUGAAUAGUAUAGGUAGGCACAACUUAGGAUUUUCUGUGUAUUACGUGCUAUAUGAAUCACCUAAUAUUCGAAAACGUUUUGGCACUUAAAGCCAUAACUUAUUAACAUGUCAUUGCAUGUUUGGCACGUCAACAUUGAUCUAGGCAUAACAAAAUAAUUUAAUUUUUCACCGCAUGUUAGCAUUAAAUUCCUACACAUUCCUGCAUGGUAACAUGUUAAACAUUAGUCUUAAGCGAUUUUGGCACGUAAAAUAUGUUAUCACAUAUUUUAGUAUGUUAAAACAAAUAUUGUUAAAACACGUUAGCGUUAAAUUUUUUGAACAUUACCAUAUGUUUCAGCAUGUUAAAUUUUAGCAUUUUAAACAUUAGAAUUAAGCAUUCUUAGCUCAUUAAACACUAAAUUUGAGCAUGUGGUAUCUUCUUGUAUAUGCCUUAACAUUAAAAUAAGCAUGUCAAUAUAUUUUUCAACAUGUUAAUAAAUUUUCAGCAUGUUAAACAAUUUAUUUAAGCAUUUUUGGCACAUUCACAUUAAAUUCCUGCAUGUCCUUACAUGUUAGCUCACUCCAUAUUAAAAAUACAAUUUCAGCAUGACGAGUCAAUUUUCAGCAUGUUAGGUUUAAUUUCUGGGGUAUUUGAAUAAAAUUUCCGCGUGACGGUCAAAUUUCUACGUUACUAAAACUGUGUUACUGCAUUUUUAGCACAAUUAUAUGAAAUUACUGCAUACUAGUAGCUUUUUGAGCAUCCUCAACUUGUUAAACGCUAAAUUCUGUACAUAAUUGUAUUACUUAGCAUGUUAAUGCACUUUCAAUGUUUUGUUAUAUUCUCAUUAGUUUAACACUUGCACAAUGAAAUUCGUGAGCACAAUUUCUUGACAUAUUUACCACACUUUUGAGACCUUCUUUUAACAAUUUGACAAUACAUUGUUACAUUCUCGAGCCACAGUUACGUUUUAUCACACUGACACUUGUUGAACACUUAGAUAUCAUGUCAAUAGAUUAAUGACAAUUAGAAUGAGGAUUUAAUAUUUCGUGAUAGUUAUCAUGGAUUGAAAAGGGACGGGCAAAUAGCAACGCAGAAGUUUCACACCGAGGUGCCUUGAACAGGUGGGGAAAAGACGUUUAAAGCGGAGGGAAAAUCAAUCGAAGGGAAAUUCGGGUGAAAGGGCAAAUUCCUGUGAUUCUUGGUUAGCUGACUAAGAGCGGAUGAGGCGGGCAAGGAGUGUGGCAUUACUAUAGGUUUGAUUCAUCAAUGUCGGUAUCUCAGUCACAGAUUGAUGUUGUCCUAAAAAUACCCCUUUGUUUUUACUCAAUUAUAUCCAUAGUAUCAGGAUUUCGACCGCUCGGUUGUUCUUAUGGAUCUCGAUAUGUUUGGCUAAUAGCUAUUCUUUGUAUUUGCAUGUUAAUCACAUUAAUCAACUCUUUAAUAACUAAGGGGCUAAUGUGAGACAUUACUUGCCUCUUGACGUCCAAUGUGUUAUGCGUUUUGAGUUCUAAUCAACAUAGCUUUAUUUUGUCUAGACCACAAAUCCAAAAUAGCUAAGUCCAAUGCCUCUUGGAGAAUAGGCGGGACGAUAGGAAUUACCAAAGACGCUAGUUUUAUCCUUGUCUUAGAACGCCUUUAGAGUUAACAACCAGCCUAGGUGGGGUGGGAUGUGUAGUCAUUUGGAAGUGAUGAUCUCCAACCAACAUUGAAGGUUAGACAUGACUUACUAAGAGUUCGGCUAGUGGGUCGGAUGAUGAUUAAACAAGUUGGGGUUUUGAUCCGAAUGAGACCAAAACUUUUCUUUAUUUGAUUUGAUGGAUUUCUUUUAUUAUUUUAUUUACCUUACAUGUUCAUAUAUUUGGGGUAGUUAGUUUAUUACAUAGGCAAUUCCCUUUGUUAUAAUUGUUUUCUUUCUUCUUGCUUAUCUUAUUAUAUGUUUUUAUCACUUAGAUAAUCAACAAUUAGAAAUAACAAAAAAAUAACAUGCGUGUUCAUUAAUUAUUUUAUCACUUAGUCUGGGCAAUCCGAAAUUUUCUUGAAUAG
rnacentral:lncRNA from 1 species